rnacentral:rRNA from 1 species
AGUGAACGCUGGCGGUAGGCCUAACACAUGCAAGUCGAACGGCAGCACAGUAAGAGCUUGCUCUUACGGGUGGCGAGUGGCGGACGGGUGAGGAAUACAUCGGAAUCUACUUUUUCGUGGGGGAUAACGUAGGGAAACUUACGCUAAUACCGCAUACGACCUACGGGUGAAAGCAGGGGAUCUUCGGACCUUGCGCGAUUGAAUGAGCCGAUGUCGGAUUAGCUAGUUGGCGGGGUAAAGGCCCACCAAGGCGACGAUCCGUAGCUGGUCUGAGAGGAUGAUCAGCCGCACUGGAACUGGGACACGGUCCAGACUCCUACGGGAGGCAGCAGUGGGGAAUAUUGGACAAUGGGCGCAAGCCUGAUCCAGCCGUACCGCGUGGGUGAAGAAGGCCUUCGGGUUGUAAAGCCCUUUUUUUGGGAAAGAAAAGCAGCAGGUUAAUACCCCGCUGUUCUGACGGUACCCAAAGAAUAAGCACCGGCUAACUUCGUG